UCCGCACAGUGUUCAUGUUGAGUAGGC
rnacentral:piRNA from 1 species